rnacentral:lncRNA from 1 species
UGUGCAGAUAUUGACGAGUGCCACCUCAGGACAAAGUCGGCUAUAUACGAGAAACUCUAUCCAUGUGACAGUAGUAGCAGAUGCGAGGACACAGAUGGCGGUUACAAGUGUAUAUGCCGAUUUCCACGUAGAGGGGACGGUACAAGUGACGAGGGAUGCAAGCCCAUACUUGGCGCACGUAUAGUCGCCACACUAGCAACGGUCUGCGCUGUGGUGGCUCUUUUGGGACUUGCAUGGUUCAUUCGUUGUGAGCACAAGGCAUGGGAGCAGAGGGGGUUCUCCAAAAUUAACGGUGGCCAACUACUGAAGGAUAUGGGCGUUACCACCUUCACGAAGGAGCAGCUUUCCAAGAUAACAAACAAUAACAAAACCAACAUCGGGAAGGGCGCCUUCGGUGAUGUCUAUAAGGGAUUCCACCAUAACCAGGAGGUUGCCGUCAAAUGCUCCACCGCGAAGAGCAAUAUUAGACGUGGCAAAUACGAGUUCUUGAAAGAGAUCGCCUUCAGAAAAUCCAUCAGCUCGAACGACGAUGGUACGAGCAACCAAAAAGUGUCCGUGAAUGAGAUCAUUGUCCAGUCACAGAUGCGGCACGACAACGUGGUCCGUCUCAUCGGGUGCUGCAUGGAGACGGAGGUCCCUAUGCUGGUCUUCGAGUUCAUCCCCAACGGGAGCCUCGAGAAGGUGCUUCAUGAACCUGACCAGCAGGCUCUCUCGCUGCCAAAACGCCUCGACAUCGCCAUCGGCUCCGCAGAGGCUCUUGCAUAUAUGCACUCUCUUGAUCAGCAAAGCGUCGUUCACGGAGAUGUCAAGCCAGCCAACAUUCUUCUUGGUAACAACCUCAUGCCUAAGGUCUCAGACUUUGGGUCCUCUAAGUUGGGCCUUGUAACCAAGGCACCAUGUGCCGACUGGAACUACAUCGACCCUGUGUGCAUGAAAACGAACAUCGUCACACAAAAAAGCGAUGUGUACAGCUUUGGGGUUGUACUCACAGAACUCAUUACUCGGAAAAGGGCCAAGUACAAUGGGAGAAGCGUUCAUCCAGAUUUUGUCAAGUAUUACACGGAUAACAAUUCAAGGAGAGAGAUGUAUGACCAGGACAUGCUGUAUACUGAUACCCACAGUCUUCAGCCAGAUCAGUGCAUUGAAUGCCUCGACACGAUGGCGGGCAUCGCAGUCCGGUGUCUCAAAGAUGACGUGGAUGAGAGGCCCACCAUGGCAGAGGUGCUGGAGGAGCUUAAGCAGUUGAGAGCAAACAAUGAACUGAUGGUGUAGAAGAUGAACCAAGCCUGGUCUCUUCAGACUCGGGUUGGUAGUCCAUCGAUAUAUGGAUUCGUCCUUCUCGCUAUUGAUUUCUCCCUCGAUCUCGCAUAUGUGACGUUUGUUGCUUCCGCUGGGUUGUCCUGUUAUGCUUGUAGAGCAGCAUAUAUUGUGCUAUUGUACGUCGUUUAGUUUCCUCUUGUAACAAGUAUCGAUAACGAUCUUGUAGUUCUGGUAUAUCACGAAUAAAUUGUGACGCAACUUAAUUUAUGAAGGAGAUGUACUUUUGUGCA